rnacentral:rRNA from 1 species
AUUGAACGCUGGCGGCAUGCCUUACACAUUCAAGUCGAACGGCAGCACUGGAGCAAUCGUGGUGGCGAGUGGCGAACGGGUGAGUAAUACAUCGGAACGUGUUCAAUCGUGGGGGAUAAAGCAGCGAAAGCUGUGCUAAUACCGCAUACGAUCUAUGGAUGAAAGCAGGGGAUCGCAAGACCUUGCGCGAAUGGAGCGGCCGAUGGCAGAUUAGGUAGUUGGUGAGGUAAAGGCUCACCAAGCCGUCGAUCUGUAGCUGGUCUGAGAGGACGACCAGCCACACUGGGACUGAGACACGGCCCAGACUCCUACGGGAGGCAGCAGUGGGGAAUUUUGGACAAUGGGCGAAAGCCUGAUCCAGCCAUGCCGCGUGCAGGAUGAAGGCUUUCGGGUUGUAAACUGCUUUUGUACGGAACGAAACGGCCUUUUCUAAUAAAGAGGGCUAAUGACGGUACCGUAAGAAUAAGCACCGGCUAACUACGUGCCAGCAGCCGCGGUAAUACGUAGGGUGCAAGCGUUAAUCGGAAUUACUGGGCGUAAAGCGCGCGUAGGUGGUUCGUUAAGUUGGAUGUGAAAGCCCCGGGCUCAACCUGGGAACUGCAUCCAAAACUGGCGAGCUAGAGUACGGUAGAGGGUGGUGGAAUUUCCUGUGUAGCGGUGAAAUGCGUAGAUAUAGGAAGGAACACCAGUGGCGAAGGCGACCACCUGGACUGAUACUGACACUGAGGUGCGAAAGCGUGGGGAGCAAACAGG